UCCUACGGGGGGCAGCAGUGGGGAAUAUUGCACAAUGGGGGAAACCCUGAUGCAGCGACGCCGCGUGAAGGAAGAAGUAUUUCGGUAUGUAAACUUCUAUCAGCAGGGAAGAAAAUGACGGUACCUGACUAAGAAGCCCCGGCUAACUACGUGCCAGCAGCCGCGGUAAUACGUAGGGGGCAAGCGUUAUCCGGAUUUACUGGGUGUAAAGGGAGCGUAGGCGGUGAUGCAAGUCAGAAGUGAAAGCCCGCAGCUCAACUGCGGGACUGCUUUUGAAACUGUAUGACUAGAUUGCAGGAGAGGUA
rnacentral:rRNA from 1 species